CCUACGGGGGGCAGCAGUGGGGAAUAUUGCACAAUGGGGGAAACCCUGAUGCAGCAACGCCGCGUGAGUGAAGAAGUAUUUCGGUAUGUAAAGCUCUAUCAGCAGGGAAGAGAAUGACGGUACCUGACUAAGAAGCCCCGGCUAACUACGUGCCAGCAGCCGCGGUAAUACGUAGGGGGCAAGCGUUAUCCGGAUUUACUGGGUGUAAAGGGAGCGUAGACGGCUGUACAAGUCUGAAGUGAAAGCCCGUGGCUCAACCGCGGAACUGCUUUGGAAACUGUUGAACUGGAGUACAGGAGAGGAAA
rnacentral:rRNA from 1 species